rnacentral:rRNA from 1 species
GACGAACGCUGGCGGCGUGCUUAACACAUGCAAGUCGAGCGGUAAGGCCCUUCGGGGUACACGAGCGGCGAACGGGUGAGUAACACGUGGGUGACCUGCCUCUAGCUCUGGGAUAAGCCUGGGAAACUGGGUCUAAUACCGGAUAUGACUCCACGGCGCAUGUUGUGGGGUGGAAAGCCUUGUGUGGCUAGAGAUGGGCCCGCGGCCUAUCAGCUUGUUGGUGGGGUGAUGGCCUACCAAGGCGACGACGGGUAGCCGGCCUGAGAGGGCGACCGGCCACACUGGGACUGAGACACGGCCCAGACUCCUACGGGAGGCAGCAGUGGGGAAUCGUUGCGCAAUGGGCGAAAGCCUGACGCAGCGACGCCGCGUGAGGGAUGACGG